rnacentral:ncRNA from 2 species
ACAUGACAAUAUAAGGAAAGAGAUGUGAAAAUCGUCCACUGAUUCACAACCGUUAUAGUCGGAAUACUUAAUUGGGG